GCCGGCGCGCCCUAAUACAUGCAAGUCGAACGAACUCUGGUAUUGAUUGGUGCUUGCAUCAUGAUUUACAUUUGAGUGAGUGGCGAACUGGUGAGUAACACGUGGGAAACCUGCCCAGAAGCGGGGGAUAACACCUGGAAACAGAUGCUAAUACCGCAUAACAACUUGGACCGCAUGGUCCGAGUUUGAAAGAUGGCUUCGGCUAUCACUUUUGGAUGGUCCCGCGGCGUAUUAGCUAGAUGGUGAGGUAACGGCUCACCAUGGCAAUGAUACGUAGCCGACCUGAGAGGGUAAUCGGCCACAUUGGGACUGAGACACGGCCCAAACUCCUACGGGAGGCAGCAGUAGGGAAUCUUCCACAAUGGACGAAAGUCUGAUGGAGCAACGCCGCGUGAGUGAAGAAGGGUUUCGGCUCGUAAAACUCUGUUGUUAAAGAAGAACAUAUCUGAAAGUAACUGUUCAGGUAUUGACGGUAUUUAACAAUAAAGCCCCGGCUAACUACGUGCCCAGCAUCCC
rnacentral:rRNA from 2 species